GGAGAGAUGCGAGAGUGGCUGAAUCGGCACGACUGGAAAUCGUGUGAGCGCGAAAGCGUUCCGAGGGUUCGAAUCCCUCUCUCUCCGCCA
rnacentral:tRNA from 1 species